rnacentral:pre_miRNA from 1 species
AUGAGAUGAAAUCAGUGUUUGGAUAUGCGAUUUCAUACCGAUUUCAUAUCAUGA